rnacentral:rRNA from 1 species
GAUGAACGCUGGCGGCGUGCUUAACACAUGCAAGUCGAACGGAAAGGCCCAAGCUUGCUUGGGUACUCGAGUGGCGAGCGGGUGAGUAACACGUGGGUGAUCUGCCCUGCACUUCGGGAUAAGCCUGGGAAACUGGGUCUAAUACCGGAUAGGACCACAUUUUGGAUGGUGUGGUGGAAAGUUUUUCGGUGUGGGAUGAGCUCGCGGCCUAUCAGCUUGUUGGUGGGGUAAUGGCCUACCAAGGCGUCGACGGGUAGCCGGCCUGAGAGGGUGUACGGCCACAUUGGGACUGAGAUACGGCCCAGACUCCUACGGGAGGCAGCAGUGGGGAAUAUUGCACAAUGGGCGCAAGCCUGAUGCAGCGACGCCGCGUGGGGGAUGACGGCCUUCGGGUUGUAAACUCCUUUCGCUAGGGACGAAGCGUUUUUGUGACGGUACCUGGAGAAGAAGCACCGGCUAACUACGUG